UUUUUUUUUUUUUUUUUUCUGCUAAAGGCUACUUCCCAUCAUAGAGGUUUCAAAUGCCAAAUAUUUAUUCUCCUAGCCUGCCAUAUAACCAGGACAUCAGUAUACAUCUUAAUCAUAACCACGAGGAUCUGAGGAGAAACUCCUACAGGUGGAUCCUCAGAAAAGCUUUUGUCCCUAAUAAAAAGAGAUGCCCUAGAAGUAACUUUCCUUCUUGCCUUUGGAUUUGAGUGUGUGAUGCCUCAAGCACUGUCUUAUGAUCCUAAGAGAAAAGCCUGAGGAGCAGCCAAUGCACAGAAGACGGCUGAUUACAGUUACAGAAAGAAGCUGGGUCUGAAUGAUGUCACUGAACCUCUGAUCCAAUCCCAGAACCAGUUUGCUUCCAGACCUCUUGUGUAUCAGUUAUCUAUUGCUGUGUAACAAAUCACCCCCUAAGUUUAGUGGCUUAACAUAACAAAUAUUAUCUCACAACUUCAGUGGAUCAGGAAUCUGAGAGUGGUGUCAAUGAGUGAUUGUGGCUUGCAGGGGGGUCUUCCAGAAGGCUGCAGGCAAGAUGCUGGUCAGGGCUGCUCAGUCAUUCUCAACCAGGGAAGGAUCUGCUUCCAAAGUCACUCACGUGGCAGUUGACAGGCCUCAGACGAUGGACUUCCAAGCUCACUCACAGAGGCCACUCCACCAGGCUGCCUUACAACAUGGCAGCUGGCUUCCUCCAGAAUACGUGAUCAAGAGAGAGUGAGGGAGAGGACUUGCAUGGAAGCCACAGACCUUUUCAACAUCCUAUUAAUCCCUGCUGUAUUCUAUUCUUUUAAUGCAGCAGUUCCCAGCCUUGACACCAUUGACACUUUGGGUUGGACUAUUCCUUGCUGGGAGGGCUAUUCUGUGUAUCCUAGAAUGUUAAGCAGCAUCCCUGGCCUCUGCCCACUAGAUGCCAAAAUUACCACCACCACUCCCCAUUCUAACAAAAAAAAAAAAAAAGUCACUAGACAUUUUCAAGCAUCCUCUGGAUAACAAUCACUCCCAGUUGAGAACCAAUGAUUUUAUAUAAUAAGUCACAAAAUCUAGCCACACCAAGGGGAGAGGAUUAUGAACGCCAAGAAGGCAUGAACGCCAAGAAGCAGGAUCAUUGGGAGUCAUCUCUGAGCCUGCAUACCUGAUCUUGGUUUAUAAGAUAAUCAACUUCUUUAGGGUCUUAAGUCAUUUAAAGCCCAGAUCUCCGUAAGUGGUACAGAAAGACCCGCCACUUAUUUCACCCAUUAAUACAACUGUUACUUUCCCCAUGUUUCAACGGCAUAAGUAAGAAAGUAAUGCAAAUCAUGAUGCUUACCACAGAAAUGAUUCAACACUAGUGUCCUGAGAAAGAGCCAAUACUUCCCAUUUCAGAGCAAUAAAACACUCAACACCACACACACACACACACACACACACACACACACGCACACAAGUUCCUAAAGGAGAGCCAUCAAAUGCCCCCUUCUGUGCAUUUUCAAACUGGGUGGAGAGACACAAAUGUGAGAAGGUAAAAGAUAGCAGUAAAAACAAAAUGCUACCACUGCAAGAAAGGAAUGACCAUACUAUACCAACUGGGAUUCUUUAAGCACCUAGAAAAUGCCACAUGCUCAGAAAAAAAAGACUGUUCCUGGCCUGUCUGGAGGUGGAGCUGGAAUGGAGGACUGAGGUGCUGGGUGAAUGGUGAAGGAAAAUGAGAACCAGCAGAUCCUGCAGCAACUUCUCUCAUAUUUGUGCCUGUUCACCACACACACACACAUCCCACCUUCUCCAGGUGGCCUCUGAGUGAAAUACUGUUUAAGGACCUAGAAACUCUUAAUUCCUUUUUUUUAAAGAUUUUAUUUAUUUAUUAAUGAGAGACACAGAGACAGAAGCAGAGACAUAGGCAGAAGGGCAGAGGGAGAGGCAGGCUCCUUGAUACGAGCCUAAUGCGGGACUUGAUCUGAGCCAAAGGCAGACGCUCAACCACUGAGCCUCCCAGGUGCCCCUAGAAAUUUUUAAUUCUUCCUUAACACAUUCCAGUUCUCUGGUGAACCUCACUGCUCAACCCAAACCUAAACUCUAUGAACCCAUUCCACUUACCAGCAACCCUGAUUUUCACCCUUCAGAUCCUUCAGGAACUGACCACUCCUCACAGUGUCCCAGGGGCUCAAUAGCUCCUUUCUACCUUAUGAUGAGUGUAGCUGGGUUUCCCAGCCCCCUGGGCUUUGAACACAUGGUCCCAGGAAAAGACCAUCUGGUGAUUUUUGUUCAAAAACUAAGGGUCUUUUUAUUGGCCUAACCCAUCUCUUUGCAGAGCUCCCUCAGGAGAUUACAAAGUCUGUAACAGGCAUCCAAAACCAAUUAUCAACUAAGGGCCAGUAGUCCCAGGAAUAACUAUGGAGUUCAAGAUGAAAGGCUCAAAAUGAAAGCUAUUUCCAACACAAAUAUCUCUUAGAAUGGUAGAAAUAAACCUUGGGGGGAAAUAACAUUAUUGUAAAAUGUGUUUUAUGACACUGUAAUGAUUAAUGGCAUUUCACACUAAUAAAGUUGACAGGAAGAGGAUGUGAAAGACUAACGAAAGUGCAAAUACAAAUUUCCUUUUAAUAUCACCAGCAUUUUUCUACAAGAACAAGACAUGCGCCAACAGGAUAAGAGGAACAGCUAUUUUAAAAAUCCAAAAUAAAUAACGAAACAGCGGUAGACAUCAACAAUACAACCAGCUUGAAUAGGAAGUCCCACGUGAUGAGUUGCCCGACGAGAUUACUGAAACUGUUCCUCUCUUUAUCUGGUCCCCAGUCCUUUCUGCUGACCAAGACUUGUGCCCGACCACAUAGAAUCUUCCUGUUGGGAACAAGAGUCCCACCCAUCCUUACAUGGCUCCAUUUCAGCAAAUCCAUGCCUUACAUCUUUCUCCUCCUUCCCACACUCUUCAAGAGCUGAGCCUUCCCACCCAAGGCUGUCCCUUCCACCAUCCCUCUCGAUUUCAUCUCCUUCAGCCACUUGGGGCCUUUCCUCUUCUUUACUUCACCAACAUCUUAUUCUAAUCUCUCCUGCACCUACCCUCAAAGGAAGUUGUCUCCAAAUAGAAAAUAAUUUCACGUGGUCAUGCUUGUUAACUGCUAUUUUAUUUUGCUACUUUCUCCCUUAUCUCCAACUCUUGGGAUAAGUGGUCUAUGACCAUCUUCUCACUAGACAUUCCUCAGUCUGGGGAGAAAUCUGAUAUCUGGCAUCUGUUUGUACUACUUGGGGAAACUGACCACAGGCAGGUCAGUAGUAACUUUCUGGCUAAAUCCUGAGAUCUGUUCUCAUUUCUUCGUCUGCCUAACUUAACAAGGCACUUAAUGUUGACUACUGCUACGAUCCACUUUUUGUUUCUCUCUCAUUUUUCUGACCCCUUCUUUACUUUCUUCCCCAUUUCCCCUUUUUAACUCCACAUUUCUUUGAUCAAUAGUCUGCGAAGGGUGGCACCUGGGUGGCUCAGUGGUUAAGCGUCUGCCUUUGGCUCAGCUCAUGAUCCUGGGAUCCUAGGAUCAAGUUCUGCCUCAGGCUGCCCACAGGGAGUCUGCUUCUCCCUCUGCCUAUGUCUCUGC
rnacentral:lncRNA from 1 species